ensembl:lncRNA
CCGUAACCACUGACAGGAAACACAAAGACUCCUGUUUUUCAUCACAGAGGAGGAUAAAAGCCCCGUUUUCAAAAGGCGAGCUGAUGGAUUAACUGGAUGGAAGCCGCUGUGUUAGACCUAUGAAAAUAAUAAUUUGAUUAAUUUUCACUGACUAGUAACCCCACCAACCUCCAUCGCCCCGCACAAGGCGAUGCAGUGGGACUCGGGCUGCUUUCGGCUGCGAGGUUUUGCAUUCCACGACCAGCCGCUUCCUACGCUCCGAUGCCUGGAGACUCGAUGGAGGUUAAGUGCCUCGGUCAAGGGGCUCUGAGGGCCACACUGCUUCCACUGGGGAUUUGCUGCAGGGGCCCUUCGACUCUCCGACCAGAGAACACGGAAG